UGGGGAAUUUUGGACAAUGGGCGAAAGCCUGAUCCAGCAAUGCCGCGUGUGUGAAGAAGGCCUUCGGGUUGUAAAGCACUUUUGUCCGGAAAGAAAUCCUUGGCUCUAAUACAGUCGGGGGAUGACGGUACCGGAAGAAUAAGCACCGGCUAACUACGUGCCAGCAGCCGCGGUAAUACGUAGGGUGCAAGCGUUAGUCGGAAUUACUGGGCGUAAAGCGUGCGCAGGCGGUUUGCUAAGACCGAUGUGAAAUCCCCGGGCUCAACCUAGGGAACUGCAUUGGUGACUGGCAGGCUAGAGUAUGGCAGAGGGGGGUAGAAUUCCACGUGUAGCAGUGAAAAUGCGUAGAGAUGUGGAGGAAUACCGAUGGCGAAGGCAGCCCCCUGGGCCAAUACUGACGCUCAUGCACGAAAAGCGUGGGGAGCAAAACAGGAUUAGAUACCCUGGUAGUCCACGCCCUAAAACGAUGUCAACUAGUUGUUGGGGAUUCAUUUCCUUAGUAACGUAGCUAACGCGUGAAGUUGACCGCCUGGGGAGUAACGGUCGC
rnacentral:rRNA from 1 species